rnacentral:rRNA from 1 species
UUCCAGACUCCUACGGGAGGCAGCAGUGGGGGAUAUUGCACAAUGGGGGAAACCCUGAUGCAGCGACGCCGCGUGAGUGAAGAAGUAUUUCGGUAUGUAAAGCUCUAUCAGCAGGGAAGAAAAUGACGGUACCUGAUUAAGAAGCCCCGGCUAACUACGUGCCAGCAGCCGCGGUAAUACGUAGGGGGCAAGCGUUAUCCGGAAUUACUGGGUGUAAAGGGAGCGUAGACGGUGAAGUAAGUCUGGAGUGAAAGGCGGGGGCCCAACCCCCGGACUGCUCUGGAAACUAUUUGACUGGAGUGCAGGAGAGGUAAGCGGAAUUCCUAGUGUAGCGGUGAAAUGCGUAGAUAUUAGGAGGAACACCAGUGGCGAAGGCGGCUUACUGGACUGUAACUGACGUUGAGGCUCGAAAGCGUGGGGAGCAAACAGGAUUAGAUACCCCCGUACC